rnacentral:rRNA from 1 species
UACGAAGGGGGCUAGCGUUGCUCGGAAUCACUGGGCGUAAAGGGUGCGUAGGCGGGUCUUUAAGUCAGGGGUGAAAUCCUGGAGCUCAACUCCAGAACUGCCUUUGAUACUGAAGAUCUUGAGUUCGGGAGAGGUGAGUGGAACUGCGAGUGUAGAGGUGAAAUUCGUAGAUAUUCGCAAGAACACCAGUGGCGAAGGCGGCUCA